rnacentral:sRNA from 1 species
GCUCCACUUCUUCGAAACUAAAGUGAAAGUAAGCAGUUCAAAUCAACAACUUGAUAUUUUUUUGGAUUUAGAUCAAGUACAGAUUUUGAGGAAGUUCCACACCACGUGUUUCCGGCACUUUCAAAAUUAAUAAUGUAACGAUGAAACACAUCCCAGAAAAUAUAGUUCCAGGAGCCCAAGGAACUUCUUCGGCCUAGGAAAAAAUACGUUAUCUAUCUUAAAUACACCUGAGAAUUGAAACCAGCUGUACAACAUGAAAAUAUAUAUAUAUAUAUAUAUAUAUAUACAUACCAGUGUUCCUACAAAAGGGGAAAUUAAUGCCCCCAGUCUUGAAAAGGUAGACGAAAAACCUAAUCCAGCGUUCCUGAAAAAGAUGUUGAACGUUUUGCAAUUGAAUAAAAAAAUUAAUUAUGCAAUUUUC